CCUGAUUAAAGAGCACGCGUGGGCGCCUUGGAGAAUGUUGUGAUGAAAUAACUGGUGGGCUGAGAGACCUUGAAGGAAACCGAAGGGCCGCCUUAAUUCACAGCCCUGCGUGGAAACGCCCAGAGAGUCGUGGGACCUUGAUUGCCAAAGCCAGAGAGAAUGUUAGAAAUCAUCUGAGCUAGAAAACGAAGCCCAGAGAGAGGAAGCAGGGAACGAGAUGGAAAGGAGAAUGGUUGUUAGAAUUGCAACCGAUGGUGUCUGCCACAAGGGGUCUAUUUUGGACAGGCUGGUCAAGGAGGCCUCUAUGAAGAGAUAAUGUUUAAGGUUGUGUAGCCUCUGGAAGAUUCCACCAUAUACUCAGGAGAGAAUAAAAGUUAAAAAAAAUCGCAGUCACAACCAAGAGCGAGGAAAACGUUUCACCCUAAUUGGAUGCCACACACAACUAACUCUUGACAUGAAAAAGAGAAGAAAAGUCAUGAAAAUCGCACCACCUCCCCUGCCCCAGGACUGAUAAAUGAGCAAAAAUCUUCAGCUUCUAAAAGACCAUUUGGAAAAAGAAACAGAUGGGCUCUGGCAAGUGUCGAGGAAGCCCCAAGGAGGGCCCUGACUCGCCCCUGCCCUCCAAGAAGGAGUAGAGGGGUAGGGAAGGAGAUGGUGAAGGGGCUGGAAGCUGGAGGGAUGGGGGCGAGGCAGAGACCCCAACAGAAAGCCAGCUGUGGUUCUGGGAAGUGCUUCUCCAUCUCAGCGGAAGCCUGGAGGGACCUGGCACCAGCUAUGGGGAGUAAUCGUUUUUUUUCUAAAAGGGAGAACUUCGUGAUGAGCAGAAACUGAGAGGUUCAAGGAGUGUAGACGUCCCAUCCUGGGAGUGUGUGGGUGGGGGGAGGGGAUCUUUAAGCUCCCAGGAUGACAGACUGGGGAUGGGCUGUCAGUUCUAGCAGACAUUUAUUGCACACCCAGUCCGCACAUGUGAGGUGCUGUGUCAGACCCUAAGGAGACAAAGAUGAAGUAGGCAUGGUUCUUGCUCUCAAAGAGCUCUCAGUCUGGCGAAGAACAUUUGGAUAUGACAGGGCGGGACGUGGAGCCCGCCCUCAUCAUAAGCCAUGGAAACACGUCAAUCAUGGACCAGGAGUCUGGCCUGGAGAAAAGAGCGUCUUGCUGGGGUCAGGCUUCAGCUCUGGUGAGAGUUAAGAUCCCCCACGCGGGAAGGUGGAUCAGCAUCUGUUAUGGUAACUGGAACUGGGCCCAUUUUGGAGACUCGUCGGAAAGAACCGAGGUCCUAUGCUCUAGAGACUUGGACUCCAAGCUGACCUGGGAGCAAGAGCAAUGCUCCUUGUGACCGCUAGGAGGAGCCAGUG